rnacentral:rRNA from 1 species
AGAGUUUGAUCAUGGCUCAGAACGAACGCUGGCGGCGUGGAUAAGACAUGCAAGUCGGACGAGAUUUCGUCCUGUAGCAAUACGGGAAGAAGUCUAGUGGCGAACGGGUGCUUAACACGUGGGCAAUUUGUCUUAAAGUGGGGGAUAGCUCGGCGAAAGCCGAAUUAAUACCGCAUGUGAUUAGAGUGGACAUCCAUUCAAAAUUAAAGUCGGGGCAACCUGACGCUUUUUGAGGAGCCCGCGGCCUAUCAGCUAGUUGGUGAGGUAACGGCUCACCAAGGCUUUGACGGGUAGCUGGUCUGAGAGGACGACCAGCCACACUGGGACUGAGACACGGCCCAGACACCUACGGGUGGCAGCAGUCGAGAAUUUUUCUCAAUGGGGGAAACCCUGAAGGAGCGACGCCGCGUGGAGGAUGAAGGUCUUCGGAUUGUAAACUCCUGUCAUUGGGGAACAAUGCGUGACGGUUAACUGCCGUCGCGUUGAUAGUACCCGAAGAGGAAGAGACGGCUAACUCUGUGCCAGCAGCCGCGGUAAUACAGAGGUCUCAAGCGUUGUUCGGAUUCAUUGGGCGUAAAGGGUGCGUAGGCGGCGCGGUAAGUCGGGUGUGAAAUCUCGGAGCUUAACUCCGAAACUGCAUUCGAUACUGCCGUGCUCGAGGACUGGAGAGGAGACUGGAAUUUACGGUGUAGCGGUGAAAUGCGUAGAUAUCGUAAGGAAGACCAGUGGCGAAGGCGGGUCUCUGGACAGUUCCUGACGCUGAGGCACGAAGGUCAGGGGAGCAAACGGGAUUAGAUACCCCCGUAGUCC